rnacentral:rRNA from 1 species
UGAAUACGAGACGCUAAGGCGUCGAAGUAGUGUAUGUCAUACUUCCAAGAAAAGCUUGCACUGUCAUAGAUAAAAAACGCCUGUACCAUAACCGACACAGGUGGGUAGGUAGAGUAUACUAAGGGGCGCGAGAUAACUCUCUCUAAGGAACUCGGCAAAAUAACUCCGUAACUUCGGGAGAAGGAGUGCCUUAUUCGUAAGGUUGCAAUAACAAGAUCCAAGCAACUGUUUAUCAAAAACACAGGUCUCCGCUAAGUCGUAAGACGAUGUAUGGGGGCUGACGCCUGCCCAGUGCCAGAAGGUUAAAGAAGUUGGUUAGCAAUUGCGAAGCUGAUAACUGAAGCCCUGGUGAACGGCGGCCGUAACAAUAACGGUCCUAAGGUAGCGAAAUUCCUUGUCGGGUAAGUUCCGACCCGCACGAAAGGCGUAAUGAUUUGGAUACUGUCUCGGAGAGGGGCUCGGUGAAAUAGACUUGUCUGUGAAGAUGCGGACUACCUGCACCAGGACAGAAAGACCCUAUGAAGCUUUACUGUAACUUGAAAUUGAAAUUGGACUUUAUUCGCGCAGCAUAGGUGGGAGGCGUUGAUUAUAAUCUUGCGGGAUUAUUGGAGCCAUCAGUGAGAUACCACUCUUGUAAUGUUAGAUUUCUAACUUUGAAUCAUUAUCUGGUCAAAGAACAGUUUCAGGCGGGCAGUUUGACUGGGGCGGUCGCCUCCUAAACGGUAACGGAGGCGUACAAAGGUUUCCUCUGAACGGUUAGAAAUCGUAUCUAGAGUGUAAAGGCAUAAGGAAGCUUGACUGUGAGACCUACAAGUCGAGCAGGGACGAAAGUCGGUCUUAGUGAUCUGACGGUACUGAGUGGAAAGGCCGUCACUCAACGGAUAAAAGUUACUCUAAGGAUAACAGGCUGAUCUCCCCCAAGAGUUCACAUCGACGGGGAGGUUUGGCACCUCGAUGUCGGCUCAUCGCAUCCUGGGGCGGUAGUACGUCCCAAGGGUUGGGCUGUUCGCCCAUGAAAGCGGUACGCGAGCUGGGUUCAGAACGUCGUGAGACAGUUCGGUCCAUAUCCGGUGUAGGCGUUAGAAUAUUGAGAGGAGCCUUCUUUAGUACGAGAGGACCGAGAAGGACAUACCUCUGGUGUACCAGUUAUCGUGCCAACGGUAAACGCUGGGUAGCUAUGUAUGGAGUGGAUAACCGCUGAAAGCAUCUAAGUGGGAAGCCCACCUCAAGAUAAGUAUUCUCA